UUUCCGUAGGUGAAUCUGCGGAAGGAUCAUUAAUGAGUUGUCAUGGGGUUCGAUGCUGGCAGCCAGUUUUUGGAUGCAUGUGCUUGCCCUAACAAUCAUCUUCUUCCAAACACCUGUGCACAUUUUUGAGGGAGUCUUGAGUUGGUUGCCGCUCUUGGGUGAUUUUCUCACAUUCCCUUAAAUCAUUAUACGCUAUUAACAAUGUUGAACGUGCUCUGUGCCGCAAGGCCAUUAAUAUAAUACAACUUUUAACAACGGAUCUCUUGGCUCUC
rnacentral:misc_RNA from 1 species